AGUGAACGCUGGCGGUAGGCCUAACACAUGCAAGUCGAACGGCAGCACAGUAAGAGCUUGGUCGUACGGGUGGCGAGUGGCGGGCGGGUGAGGAGUAAAUCGGAAUCUACUUUUUCGUGGGGGAUGACGUCGGGAAACUUAAGCUAAUACCGCAUAAGACCUACGGGUGAGAGCAGGGGAAGUUCGUACCUUGCGCGGUUGAGUGAGCCGGUGUCGGAUUAGCUAGUUGGCGGGGUAGAGGACCACCGAGGCGACGGUCCGUAGCUGGUCUGAGGGGUUGGAGGGCCACAGUGGAAAUUAGGCACGGUACACAGUCCUGAGGGAGGCAGCAGUGGGGAAUAUUGGACAAUGGGCGAAAGCCUGAUCCAGCCAUACCGCGUGGGUGAAGAGGGACUUCGGGUUGUAAAGCCCAUUUGUUGGGAAAGAAAAGCAGCGGCUUAAUAUCCCGCUGUUCUGACGGUACCCAAUGAAUAAGCACCGGCUAACUACGUG
rnacentral:rRNA from 1 species